UACGUAGGGUGCCAGCGUUGCCCGGAUUUAUUGGGCGUAAAGGGCGCGUAGGCGGCUCUGCACGUCCGUUGUGAAAUCGCCCGGCUCAACUGGGCGGGGUCAGCGGAUACGGCAGAGCUUGAGCAAGCUAGGGGGCAAUGGAAUUCCCGGUGUAGUGGUGGAAUGCGUAGAUAUCGGGAGGAACACCAGUGGCGAAGGCGGUUGCCUGGGGCUUUGCUGACGCUGAUGCGCGAAAGCGUGGGGAGCGAUCCGG
rnacentral:rRNA from 1 species